CCUGAAUGGAGAUAAAUACACCCCAGGAGGAGUACUUGAGAUGCUGGAGAAACUCUGGCCAUGUUCAACUGUUUACAAGAUUAUUGGCCUGCAGUUGCCAUGGGAACAGCCCAAGUCAAAGGUGGAUCCAGAGGGCAGGAGGUCACCCACUAGCCCGUGGCUAAGAAUUGCCCUUCUCUUUUCUAGAUCAUUCUAAUGGGGCAGCCAACUGCAAUACCUGCCAUGGGGCACAUGACCCAAACUGGCCAAUCAGAUUGUCUGUCAUGAUUUGACCCUGAAGCAGAGACACACAGUUACAACUGGAUCAUCCAAUGGCAGCUUCCAAAAAAGACAUACUCCAAGGAGUUCCUGGGGCUGAGCCCUGUCGCUGCCUAGAUACCUUCUUAGUACCUCCCUGUUUAAUUCUUAUUUCUAUUUGGUUGCUCCUAAAAUCUCUCUGGUAACUCCACUCUUUUUUUUUUUUUUCUUUUUUAACGUACAAAUUAGAGUUCUUGUUGUUGCUUGCAACCAAAGAACCCUAAUUUAUACACAAAACAAGAGAGACAGGCCAGGUGGAUUAGAUGCUGGGCCCCUCCUUUCUGCAGGCCUCCCUCCUUUGUGGUCCCAGGGCAGUUGGCUGCAAUAGCACUUGGUUCGUGUAGGAGACAUGGUGGGAGAGUGUCUGUUUGCUUGACAGGACUGCGAACGUCAACAACUAAGGACAUCUGUAUUCCAGAUACACCUGGUUCAGGGUCUUGCAUGCUGUAGAUGCUCAGUUUCAUUGAGUCAAGAUCUAACAGCUCGAAGCAGGAACUCCAGGGGGGAUAAAACUUAACAAGUAUCAGGCGAUAAUGUGUGGAGGGCAGAUAUAAUCAGCUGCUGAACAGAGCAAGGCUUGGAUAAAGCAAUUCCCAGUGCAUGCAAGUGAUGAGUGCUGGGGACAAGUGGUCAGGGCUCAUUUCAGGGUUUUGGGGAAGGACCACGCUGUCCCCCCAAAUAUGUCUUCCACCUCUUCACGAAUACUUCUCGUUCCUGAAACAAGAGGCAAAGGCACUCAGUUAACACUUAGAUAUAGGGCUGGAAAGGCAUCUACCCUGGGAGAGUGAGAACAAUGUUUUCAUUCGCUCUGAAGUGUAAAUGAUGGGUGUAGACCUUCCCCAAGAAUAGGCCUGGAUAGGGGCGCCUGGGUGGCUCAGUUGGUUAAGUGACUGCCUUCGGCUCAGGUCAUGAUCCCGAAGUC